rnacentral:rRNA from 1 species
UACGUAGGGUGCAAGCGUUGCCCGGAUUUAUUGGGCGUAAAGGGCGCGUAGGCGGCUCUGCACGUCCGUUGUGAAAUCGCCCGGCUCAACUGGGCGGGGUCAGCGGAUACGGCAGAGCUUGAGCAAGCUAGGGGGCAAUGGAAUUCCCGGUGUAGUGGUGGAAUGCGUAGAUAUCGGGAGGAACACCAGUGGCGAAGGCGGUCUGCUGGGCAGUUGCUGACACUGAGGCGCGACAGCGUGGGGAGCAAACAGG